CCUACGGGAGGCAGCAGUGGGGGAUAUUGCACAAUGGGGGGAACCCUGAUGCAGCGACGCCGCGUGGGUGAAGGAGUGCUUCGGCAUGUAAAGCCCUAUCGGCAGGGAAGAAGCAAGACGGUACCUGACUAAGAAGCCCCGGCUAACUACGUGCCAGCAGCCGCGGUAAUACGUAGGGGGCGAGCGUUAUCCGGAUUCACUGGGUGUAAAGGGAGCGUAGACGGCCAAGCAAGCCAGGGGUGAAAGCCCGGGGCCCAACCCCGGGACUGCCCUUGGAACUGCAUGGCUGGAGUGCGGGAGGGGCAGGCGGAAUUCCUGGUGUAGCGGUGAAAUGCGUAGAUAUCAGGAGGAACACCGGCGGCGAAGGCGGCCUGCUGGACCGCGACUGACGUUGAGGCGCGAAAGCGUGGGGAGCAAACAGGAUUAGAUACCCUAGUAGUC
rnacentral:rRNA from 1 species